GGGGAUCUAGCUCAGUGGUAGAGCGUCCGCUUUGCAUUUACAAAAAUCCAGGAUAUCUGGCGGUGCGUGUGCGGAAGGUCAGGUGUUCGAUCCGCCUGUUCUCCA